AUUGAACGCUGGCGGCAGGCCUAACACAUGCAAGUCGAACGGUAACAGGAAGCAGCUUGCUGCUUUGCUGACGCGUGGCGGACGGGUGAGUAAUGUCUGGGAAACUGCCUGAUGGAGGGGGAUAACUACUGGAAACGGUAGCUAAUACCGCAUAACGUCGCAAGACCAAAGAGGGGGACCUUCUGGCCUCUUGCCAUCGGAUGUGCCCAGAUGGGAUUAGCUAGUAGGUGGGGUAACGGCUCACCUAGGCGACGAUCCCUAGCUGGUCUGAGAGGAUGACCAGCCACACUGGAACUGAGACACGGUCCAGACUCCUACGGGAGGCAGCAGUGGGGAAUAUUGCACAAUGGGCGCAAGCCUGAUGCAGCCAUGCCGCGUGUAUGAAGAAGGCCUUCGGGUUGUAAAGUACUUUCAGCGGGGAGGAAGGGAGUAAAGUUAAUACCUUUGCUCAUUGACGUUACCCGCAGAAGAAGCACCGGCUAACUCCGUG
rnacentral:rRNA from 1 species